GGGAUCGGGGGAUGCUUCACCAAAAUGUCAAACUUGGCACCACGGUCUUCCUUCUCACCUCACAUCCCAGAUACUACAGAAAAACCUAGCACUUCAUCCUCGUCAGCAAAAGGAAAAAGAAAAGCCAUCUAUCAUGUAAAACCAACAGAGGACACUAAGAUGUUAGAUUUAAAAUCAAUGAAAUGGGAUGCUGUGAAGCAGAAGACAGGAUGGAGGGAGGCCAAGGAAAGAAAGCAGCCAGAUAUGACAUAUAACAUGGAGAGGCUGGAACAGAAGCAAGGGAAGUCCUUGGCUGUUGCCCCCAAGAAAGAAAGCAGCCAAAACAAAAAGUUUCAGGAAACCCUGAAGAAACUUGAAGAAUACCAGAUACAUCAAGAAGAAAAAAGGCUUAGAAAACUCUUACUGAAACCUACAAGAGAGUACCAACUGAGCGGCUUUCCCAUGUCCCGUUAUUCCUGAGGAAUUCCCUGAAACAAGCAAAAAAAUCUCCAGAGGAGUCUACAGUAAUCCAAGAUCCUUACCUCACCUCUUUCUCCACUUUGAAAGAUGCAAACAAGAAGUUAAUUGGAGAACAAUUGGACCAAUUCACAGCUCUACGGACAGUGUAUUAAAGUGCCUUCCAGCUCAGCCUCUCCAAUAUUGACUGUUUCUCUCUUGCAUCAUUUUUGCCAGUGUGCUGGUACAAGACUUAGAUAGCCCAGAAAUUGUAAUAGCAGUAACCCCACGAAUGAACAUCCCACAUAGGAACAGCACGGAUACUAAUGCCAACACGUUUAUGCAGGAUACCUUUUCUUCUUCCCGUAAGGGAACGAUUACAAAGUUAACAGACCCCUCAACUAGCUUCCAGGGGUAUGAUUGGAAGAUGAAGAAUUUAAUUGAGAAGACUCCAAGUGUGAAGCCAGAAACAACCUCCAUGCUAUUGAAGCCUCAGGAAGUUCUUAGCUGUAGGUACUUGCGGCUCUCUAAGAACAAUGUCAAGACCUUGAUUAAGCUGUGUAAGGAUGCAGGAAUGGAUGUAGACAUUCAUCCUCACAUGAAUGAAUCUGAAAUGAAUGCCAACAAGAUAUUCAGCAGAAAACCUAACACAGCCCUCUAAGUCACUCUCUCUUUUGCUAACUUGGGUCUACUUGAAAAAAAGUUGAUACUGCCCGUCCUCCAACCAUGCCGCUAGCCUCUAAUUUUUAGGCAGGUCUGAUAUCUAAUUUAACAACAGCAGUAACAAUCAGCAAACCGAAAGAAGAUUAUGAUAUUUGCAUAUUGUAAUGCUUUAUGGUGUUUCUCAGAGAGGGUCCAAUCUGGGAGAAUCCAUUACUUAGUUUUCCCAAAAUGUUACCUACAGCUAAUGAUAGAAGUUUCACACUCACCUAGAUUGGCUUCAAACAGGCAGGCUUUUUAAUCACAAGUCAAUGACUCAUUUUGCCCCACCCAGAAUUCUCCCUGGGAAUGUUAGGAUCUGGCUCGUGACUCUUAAGGCCCAGUCCCUUGUAAGAAACCAAGGCUACCAAAGCACUAGUACAGGUUCAUUAACAGGCAUGUGAAGAACAGAGAAAGGGCGAAUCACCUUCAAUGCUUCAAGAAUCUAUAAUUUCAAAGCCAUAAAACCUCUUUCCCUUCAUUAAGACCUCUCUCAUUGCCCUGGAAAUGGUGGUCUUUGUAAAUUGUUAUAACCAAAAAAAAAAAAAAAGGAACCCUCAUCAUUCCCCAAGGACAAUCUGGUUAUGAGACCCUCUAAAAACAAGCCUGGUCCUCAGACAACAGAAACUCAUUUUUCCUUUAAGUCAAAAUAAUCCAUCCUGAUGUGCAAGUUUUCCAAUGCAGAUUUCAAGAAGAUUUGGGGUAUGGAAAAGACAAAAUCAGAGUUAUGGAAAGGGCAUCAAAAGACUAAUUCCUUUCAUUCACAUACCCUCAUACCCCCAACCUUGUUCUGU